GCCAGACCUAGCCCUACAUAAUCCACAACCCAACUAGCACUACCCCAAAAAUCAAAUCAUUUACCACAUAAAAGUAUAUGCGAUAGAAAUUAUAAACAGGCGCCAUAGAGAAAGUACCGCAAGGGAAAGAUGAAAGAAGAACUAACAGCAUAAAACAGCAAAGACUUACCCUUUUACCUUUAGCAUAAUGAAUUAGCUAGAAACCCCCUUGCAAAGAGCACUUAAGUUAGGAACCCCGAAUCCAGACGAGCUACCUACAGACACCGCAAAGAGCCAAUUCAUCUAUGUAGCAAAAUAGUGAAGAGAUCUUUAGGUAGAGGUGAAAAGCCAAUCGAGCCUGGCGAUAGCUGGUUGUCCAGGAACCGAAUCCAAGUUCAACUUAAAAUUUGCCUAAAGAACAAGACACUGAAUCCUAAUGCAAACUUUAAAUAUAAUCGGCAGGGGUACAGCUCUGCCGACUUAAGGGACAAACCCCUCCUAGAGAGUAAGUCUUAUUGCCCUCCAUAGUAGGCCCAAAGGCAGCCACCAAUAAAGAAAGCGUCCAAGCUCAACAGCACCACCACAAAAAAAUUCCAAGACAGACCCCCCCCCCAACUCCUAGACCUCCCCCUACUGGACUAAUCUAUAAUAAUAGAAGAAAUAAUGCUAAUAUAAGUAACAAGAAUAAAUUUCUCCACGCACAAGCUUACAUCAGAACGGACCCACCACUGAUAAUUAACAACCAGACUUCUACACACCACCAAAUAUAACCAAGUCCUACCCAUUGUUAACCCAACACAGGUGUGCGCACUGGAAAGAUUAAAAGAAGUAAAAGGAACUCGGCAAACACAAAUCCCGCCUGUUUACCAAAAACAUCACCUCUAGCAUAACAAUUAUUAGAGGCACUGCCUGCCCAGUGACAUAUGUUUAACGGCCGCGGUACCCUGACCGUGCAAAGGUAGCAUAAUCAUUUGUUCUCUAACUAAGGACUUGCAUGAAAGGCUUAACGAGGAUUUUACUGUCUCCUACUUCCAAUCAGUGAAAUUGACCCCCCCGUGAAGAGGCGGGGAUAAACCUAUAAGACGAGAAGACCCUAUGGAGCUUAAAUUAACUAGCCUAAUUGCACCCACACCCACCCAACAGGAAAAACCACCAACAACCUAGGCUAGCAAUUUCGGUUGGGGUGACCUCGGAGCAUAAACAAACCUCCGAAUGACUAAUCACUUAGACCUAACUAGUCAACAUACUUCAAUAUCACUAAUUGACCCAAGCAAUUGAUCAAUGGAACAAGUUACCCUAGGGAUAACAGCGCAAUCCUAUUUCAGAGUCCAUAUCGACAAUAGGGUUUACGACCUCGAUGUUGGAUCAGGACAUCCAAAUGGCGCAACAGCUAUUAACGGUUCGUUUGUUCAACGAUUAAAGUCCUACGUGAUCUGAGUUCAGACCGGAGCAAUCCAGGUCGGUUUCUAUCUAUAAACCUUUUCUCCCAGUACGAAAGGACAAGAGAAACAAGGCCCACUCCACAAGAGCGCCCUAAAGUUAAAUAGAUGAAUUAAUCUAAAUCUAAUUCAACCCCCUUCAACGACCGCCCCUAAACCAGGGUUU
rnacentral:rRNA from 1 species